AUAUCCCCUUACAUAGUCUGAGAGAAACAGGGCAGCGGCACAAUCAUCCCCUUCCAUAGUCUGAAGAAAGUGAGAAUUAAAGAAUAUCGCACGACGCGGGCACCGGAAGUCCGGAACGGCAGCGGCACCACCAUCACCGCAAAAGAGCCCAUCGCUCUUUCGUCCUCAACACACCGAGACUUACAUCGUCGGCGAUUUUGGUUCUAGGGUUUGGGGUUUCUACUUUUUCUUUAACCACCGGCCAUGACACACAACUCCUGUUAAAAAUUUCCAUUGAUGAACAACAGAAGCGGCUGUGAUAAUUUAAGGUAAUUGUUUAAUUACAAUUCCCUUAUUCUUUAUAUUCAAGCUUUAAUUUCUCUGUAAUGCAUUACUUUUUCUAUACCAAGAAAUCUGAGAAUUAGGUUUUACAAUUUUCAUGAUUAUUUUGUUUAUUGGAAUGUUAUGAAGUUAUAGAUUGGAAAAAAUAUUUUGGAGCCCUUAACUCCUUAAGCAUUGAAGUAUUGAAGAAGUAUUGAAGGGUGUAAUUUAGUGCUUAAGUUUGAUUAACUAGAAAAAAUAGAUCUGAUUCCUGGAAUUCUUCAAUUAUUUAUAUCUAAGAGAUAUGUUAGCAUUAUUUCUCUUUCUUAGUUGUUCUUAUUGUUUCUUUUCAGAUUUUUGCUCUGAAUUGUUAUUUCCGUAUGUUAAUACUUGCCAAGUCAUUUGCAUUGAAGAAUGAGGUCCAAGGAAUGUAUGGGUGAGAAAUUGGUACUUUUCAAUUUUCCAUCAUUUAUUAUUUGAGAUUACAUUCCAGUAGACUUCUCUCACUGUUGGUUAAACUUUGUUGACUCCUCUCACUAGACUAGAUGGUUUUAUUUACAGAACGAGCAAAAGUUAAGCCUUUUUGGUUUUGCUUUAGUGUUUUGAUAUGUCUUUUGUCAUAGAAAAUGCCAAAUCUAUAUCAAGUUGCUUCUAUUUAUUUGCCUAGCUUGUGUUGACCAAUGUUUUAUUUCUGGGCAAGAAUGAACAUCACCUUUUGCCAUAAGAAAUAGGGUAAAUAGCAUUAAACCACCUAAACUUUUUGAGUUUUUGCGGAUCACCACCUGAACAAUUUUUUUUUGCACAACUUCACCUAUACUCAAUUAAUUGUGCCACUUUACCCAUGUUUGCAGGUUUGCAGGUUAAAAUGACCUGUUCUCAACCCAUGUGCGUCGCACAUGACAAAUCCAAGGCUAUUGACGUCUUUUCCAUUUUUAAAAUUGAAUAAAUGUUAAAUAGAAUAAAUAAAAAAUAAAAAAAAAUAAAAAAAAAAGAAAAAAAAACAACAAAGGUCUUCGUCUUGUUCACCAGCCUUGUUCACCAGCAGAAGAUCCACCAUAGCUACUACUGCUGCAAUUUUAUUUCCCCCAAUCACCACCAUCAUCAGACCAACAACAACAAAAACGCCGCCAUUUAUCCGUCGAUAAUCAGCCCUAAUUUCACAUAGCUCCUCCUCAUAAACUCAUCAAGGCCAACGGCGUUGGCGGCGGCAUAUCAUAUUCAACCACCCCACCCUACUCAUCUAACUCACAACUUUCAUCAACCAUUUCUCUCAUAUUGCAGCCGUUCACCACCAGGAACCAGCUCUGCCCUCUUGCACAACCACGAAGCUCACCACCACCACCACAUCUUCAAAUCCGCCGCCAUCUUGACUGAAAUUGGACCUAAAAUUAGGUCAAAAAUGUUCAUUUAAUUUCCCCCUUUCCCCGAUUGAGGUUAUAUGAACACUAUUUUCUCUCGAUUUCUUCCUCCGAAUCGACUAGAUCUUCUUCCAACGAAUGGAGGAUUAGAUGAGAUUCUCACAAUUGAGGCCGCCCCAUGCCGGGGCGGAGGUGUGCGGCGCUCGACCGUGAGAUCGGGUGUGCGCAGGUGGGCGGUGGGUGGUGAGAUUGGUGCGACGGCGGUGGUAAUCCUUGAAAUUGCAUAGGCGAGAAAGUGUUUAUGUCGGUGGUGGUUUGUUCGGAGUUUUCGGGCCAUGGGUUCAAAAUCCAGGCUGAGUUGCUGGGAACAAGAUGACGUUUUACUUUUUCUUUUUCUUUUUUUAGUUAUUCUAUUUAAGAAAAUUCCAUAUCAAAAAACAAAAAUAAAAUAAAAUAAAUAAAUUAAAAUUAACAUUUAUUCAAUUUUAAAAAUGGAAAAGACGUCAAUAGCCUUGGAUUUGUCAUGUGCGACGCACAUGGGUUGAGAACCGGUCAUUUUGACCUGCAAACCGGCAAAAAAGGGUAAAGUGGCACAAUUAAUUAAGUAUAGGUGAAGUUGUGCAAAAAAAAAUUGUUCAGGUGGUGAUCCGCAAAAACUCAAAAAGUUUAGGUGGUUUAAUGCUAUUUACCCUAUGAAAUAUUUGUCUAUGUUUAUGCCUGUGGUUUUUUAUAGGUGAUUGUAUGUAUCUUUUUUUUUUCAUAAGAACGCAUGGAGAUCUGGUAAUAUUGAAGAUCAUACUACAAACUUAUAAACAAUCUCUUGAUAAGAAUGAUGAGUAUUUUGUUCGUGACAACAAAUAAUAUUGGAUAUAGUCGAUGAUGAAGAUUUAAACCUAAGGUACGUGUUAUUUCAGCGAUAAGCAUCCAUCAUAUUAAUGAAUAUAAGGCCUCGUUAAAUGACAACAAAUUCUAUUUAUGUUUGAGACAUUUUUGGCAUACCAAAUGGUAAUUUAUUAUUAUGUUACGAUAUGUUAAUCAAGUUGAAAUUGUUUCUCUUAUUCAGUUUUAUAAGAAUAUAACGGCGGUGGGGCUCUCCAAGUUCAAUCUCUUUCAUCAUUUGUAUAUAUAAGUAUAACCACUGGAUUUUGAUGCAUUCUUCAACAAGGUGAGAUCAUAGCAUUUGUAUAUAUUUUUCUCGUCUGUUUUGAAGCUCAGUCUAACUUCUUUUGCACAAAUAGUAGUUAGUUAAAGGAAACGUUAAUUGCUUGGUAUAAAUUAAACCCAUUGAUGCUAUUUAAUUUUAAUUCGAGUUUGGUUCUGCUUUAUAUGAUUGAUAUUUUUUUUUAUUUCAACUUAAUCAAUAAUCUAUUACUGUCUUUGAACCGCCUCACUUAAUUUGAAUGGAUUGAAGGUCAAAUUGUUGGUUAGUCAAUAUGUAUCCAUUGAAAUGUCUGAUGAGAUGAUAUUAAUAUUGUUUGGUUUAGUGUUCUCAGAAUUGAGCAUGGAUGGGCGUUUUAAUUUCUUAUUUCCCUAACUUUCUCUAUAUAACUAAAUUCAGCUCAAAAUGCUUCAAGUACCACAAUUACUUGGGGAGCAGUUUGUUGAUGGAUUACGGAAGGAUGUUUGACCGCGUCAACUUCUAGAUGGUGAUAUUAUUAACAGUUUGACG
rnacentral:lncRNA from 1 species